GCCUAGUUAGCUUGGUUGGUAGCGCGUCUGCCUUGUAAGCGCUAGGCCGCGGGUUCGAUUCCCACACGGGGCG
rnacentral:tRNA from 1 species